AACGAACGCUGGCGGCAGGCCUAACACAUGCAAGUCGAGCGGGCCCUUCGGGGUCUAGCGGCGGACGGGUGAGUAACGCGUGGGAACGUGCCCUCUUGCCUGGGAUAACUGCUGGGAACGGCAGCUAAGACCGGAUGAGCCCUACGGGGGAAGGAGAGGAUCGGCCCGCGUCGGAUUAGGUAGUUGGUGGGGUAACGGCCUACCAAGCCUUCGAUCCGUACCUGGUUUGAGAGGACGACCAGGCACACUGGGACUGAGACACGGCCCAGACUCCUACGGGAGGCAGCAGUGGGGAAUCAUAGACAAUGGGCGCAAGCCUGAUCUUGCCAUGCCGCGUGGACGAUGAA
rnacentral:rRNA from 1 species